CCUACGGGUGGCAGCAGUGGGGAAUAUUGCACAAUGGGGGAAACCCUGAUGCAGCGACGCCGCGUGAGUGAAGAAGUAAUUCGUUAUGUAAAGCUCUAUCAGCAGGGAAGAAAAUGACGGUACCUGAGUAAGAAGCCCCGGCUAACUACGUGCCAGCAGCCGCGGUAAUACGUAGGGGGCAAGCGUUAUCCGGAUUUACUGGGGGGAAAGGGAGCGUAGACGGCAGUGCAAGUCUGGAGUGAAAGGCGGGGGCUCAACCCCCGGACUGCUCUGGAAACUGUAUGGCUGGAGUGCAGGAGAGGGAAGUGGAAUUCGUGGUGUAGCGGUGAAAUGCGUAGAUAUUAGGAGGAACACCAGUGGCGAAGGCGGCUUACUGGACUGUAACUGACGUUGAGGCUCGAAAGCGUGGGGAGCAAACAGGAUUAGAUACCCGAGUAGUC
rnacentral:rRNA from 1 species